rnacentral:rRNA from 1 species
GACGAACGCUGGCGGCGUGCUUAACACAUGCAAGUCGAACGGAAAGGCCCUUCGGGGUACUCGAGUGGCGAACGGGUGAGUAACACGUGGGUGAUCUGCCCUGCACUUUGGGAUAAGCCUGGGAAACUGGGUCUAAUACCGAAUAGGACCACGCGCUUCAUGGUGUGUGGUGGAAAGCUUUUGCGGUGUGGGAUGGGCCCGCGGCCUAUCAGCUUGUUGGUGGGGUAAUGGCCUACCAAGGCGACGACGGGUAGCCGGCCUGAGAGGGUGACCGGCCACACUGGGACUGAGAUACGGCCCAGACUCCUACGGGAGGCAGCAGUGGGGAAUAUUGCACAAUGGGCGCAAGCCUGAUGCAGCGACGCCGCGUGAGGGAUGACGGCCUUCGGGUUGUAAACCUCUUUCGCCAGGGACGAAGCGCAAGUGACGGUACCUGGAGAAGAAGGACCGGCCAACUACGUGCCAGCAGCCGCAGUAAGAC